AAUAAGUGCAGUUUUAGCACUGUUCAUGUUCAACGUUUGACCGUUCGUCUUAUUUGAAAAAAGAUUAUGAUUAGUAUUUUUAUUGUUAUUAAAUGAUAAAACAUGAAUAGUACUUUAUGUGUGACUAAUUUUUUAAUAUUUUUAAUAAAUUUUUUAAAUAAGACGGAUGGUCAAAGUGCUAAACACGGAUAUCUAUGGCUGCAUUUAUU
rnacentral:pre_miRNA from 1 species